rnacentral:rRNA from 1 species
UACAGAGGGUGCAAGCGUUGUUCGGAAUUAUUGGGCGUAAAGAGCUCGUAGGCGGUUUGUUGCGUCGGCUGUGAAAUCCCGAGGCUCAACCUCGGGUCUGCAGUCGAUACGAGCAAACUAGAGUGUUGCAGGGGAGACUGGAAUUCCUGGUGUAGCGGUGAAAUGCGCAGAUAUCAGGAGGAACACCGGUGGCGAAGGCGGGUCU